rnacentral:rRNA from 1 species
GACGAACGCUGGCGGCGUGCUUAACACAUGCAAGUCGAACGGAGAGGCCUUUUCGGAGGUACUCGAGUGGCGAACGGGUGAGUAACACGUGGGUGAUCUGCCCUGCACUCUGGGAUAAGCCUGGGAAACUGGGUCUAAUACCGGAUAGGACCGCACUUUAGUGUGUGUGGUGGAAAGUUUUUUCGGUGUAGGAUGAGCCCGCGGCCUAUCAGCUUGGUGGUGGGGUAAUGGCCUACCAAGGCGGCGACGGGUAGCCGGACUGAGGGGUUGGUCGGCCACAUUGGGGCUGAGAUACGGCCCGGACGCCUACGGGAGGCAGCAGUGGGGAAUAUUGCACAAUGGGCGCAAGCCGGAUGCAGCGACGCCGCGUGGGGGAUGACGGCCUUCGGGUUGUAAACUCCUUUCGCCAGGGACGAAGCGUUUUGUGACGGUACCUGGAGAAGAAGCACCGGCUAACUACGUG